UACAGAGGGUGCAAGCGUUAAUCGGAGUUACUGGGCGUAAAGGGCGCGUAGGCGGUUGUUUAAGUGAGAUGUGAAAUCCCUGGGCUUAACCUAGGAACUGCAUCUCAUACUGGACAGCUAGAGUAUUGUAGAGGGUAGUGGAAUUUCCGGUGUAGCGGUGAAAUGCGUAGAGAUCGGAAGGAACACCAGUGGCGAAGGCGGCUACCUGGACAAAUACUGACGCUGAGGCGCGAGAGCGUGGGGAGCAAACAGG
rnacentral:rRNA from 1 species